AUUCUGGCAUGGUAUUUAAACAACUCUAAUUAUAUUCAUACUUCAUAUUUGUAAUGGCAUGGACAAUGUCUCAGAGACUAGAAAUGGUCAUUUUGGGUAAAAUCACUGUUUUGGAAAUACAAUGAAUUUGUUAUCACUGCAAAAUCAUUGGAGGGUUUUAUUCAAGUUGUCCUUUUUCAGAGAUUGGAAAUGCUCAAUAUCAAAUAUUUAUUAUUUACUUGGAACAGUUUCCACUAGACAGGCCAUACAAAACAGGGAUGUUUCUAGGCCUGCCAGCCUGCCUUUGGGAUGGCCAGUAUUAACAGCCUGUGCCCUUAAGUAUCCAGUGACAUAGGAUAAGUUCCACUGGUAAAGUUCACAAGAGGUAGAUUAUGUUCUCUAGGGAUGAGAAGUGAAAGUCAAGCAUGUUUCCCUGGAAGCAGAGAGCUCCCCAGUGGACAUUUCCAUUCCUACAGGCAGCCCCCCAUCCAGUUCCAUUCUGUUCCAGAACAGCUCCAGGCCUAGAAAGGCAAGUGAACCUUCAGAUCAUGCUGGGCUCAUGGAACAGCCCAGAAGCCCUCCAUCAGCCUGCAGUCCGGAGUUCAGGGAACGUCUUAGGCCAAGCCACUCUCAAGAAGCGGAGGUAAAAAGACUCACGGCUCAGUUCAUUCACCAUCAGCCCACAGCAUGGAAGGAAAAUGCCACUCCCCCUUUCAAACCACCCUUUUGCAACUAUAGGCAUUCUCAAAUCCUUCUUCAUUAUCACAGUAAAUUCAUGUUAAUGCAGACAUUAUUCUUAAAGGAUAACAAGGAGUCCACAGUGUAAUUUACCCUAAGCUCAGCAUUGCUUCAGGGCUGGUCUUGGGACAGGUGCCUCCCCAGGCCAGUCCUGUGUGACAUUACAUGAUUAGGACAAAAUUAGACAUGUGCAAGGAAAGCACAGCCACCAAAGGGCUCUGGGGCAGGUGUCAGUGCCCCAGGCGGGGAGAGGCUGUGUAAUUAUGGAAGGAUAAUACCCACCCCAGGGACUACUUCAUUUCCCAUCCCUAAGGAACUCUUCACCAAUCAGAAAAGAGAAUUCUUUAACAACAGCUCUCCACCCCCUGGCCAGGAACCACUCAUAGCUUCUCAGAACAUGUUUCUGGGCAGGUGGGAGCAAAGCCAGAAAGGAAAACGAACCCCGGGCAGAACCAGAGACACAAGAGCUCUGUGGCCCUGACCCUGGUAGAUAAUCCACCAGGCUCUCAAGCUAGGACCAUUUCACUGCAAGCCAAGGACCUGGUUUGCUGCAUGUUGUCCUGCCUUGCAGGCUGGCAAGAAGCUGAGCCUCUGGGCUUUGCCCACUGAUAUGGAACUGGCUCUGGGAGAUCACCCCAGCGAUGACAGAUGCACAGGGUGGCCAUCUGGAAGUGCCCCUGUCCUCAGGGAUGCUUCAAACAAAGGUUAAUGUGUCAAGAGGGAUUCAUAAAGUCGGAGACCUCCAUGGGGCUUUGAGAACAUCUCUACAUCUCCAGAUGAGCCACCUAAACUGAUCUGAAAGAACUAUGCUCAUGUAUGAAAUAAAUGAAAGAAAUGAAAUAAACAGGUAAAAGGAUGGACUUUUAAGACUCCUGAUAAUUUGCAGCCUCAUCAUAAAGUCCUGCAGGGAAUGAUUACAUACCCUCCCCUAGCCACCUGUGAAAAUGCUUAUUAGAAAAGUGUGUCAUGUUCAAUGAAUUGUAUUGCCAAUAAGAAUGGGGGUAAUGAUCCUGCCCUUCCCUGCCAGGACGUUCUUCCUGACAUCUGCACUAAUCCCUUCUGCUGAUUUAACUUCAAACCUGUUCCUUCUUGUCAUUUCGGUGAAUAAAAACAGCACUUCCUACCAUGCCCCUGAUCGGCUUCUAUGAAGAAAACCUGUUGUCAAAUCUCUGCGGCCCACUCAGUGUCCUCUGAUGCUGGCUAAAGGGAGCCCUAAUCAUUUGCAUUUGCUCAAGAAUCAAAUUGCUCAAGGCCCAGAUGGACCCCCCAGGACUCUUCUCCUGUGCAUUCUCCAGCUUCUCCAUCCCAGACAGAAAGCCUGUUCCUUCCAACAGACAUCUCCGGUAAAGCCCUGAGAUUACCUCGCUCACCCACAAGCAACGUGCUCCUAUUUAUAAACUCAAGACUCAGCUUGGUACUACCCUGGAGUGCUGAUUCACGGUGUUAUGACCAAAUUGUAUUUUGCCUUUACUGUAAAUAAGUACAAAGAAAAAAGUUUGUACUGUCUGUUUCCUAAUCUCUUUCGGCUCUUCACCAAGAGAAAACUUUCCUUCUAUAAAUGGAUCCCAGACUGAUCAUGGAUCUUUUCAGGAAUAUGAGUGUGGAGAAGAAACGAGAUUGAUUUUAAUAGUGUGCAAAUUUAAAAUGAGAUAAGUAUAGCUAAUGUCCUAAAGCCCUCAUUUAGAAAAUGGCCUUUAGCUUUGAAUAGAACUUGCCUUUCUAAUGAUAAAAUAAUAAGAAUAGUAUUUAUUGAACACUCACCACAUGCCAGGCACUGUGCUAAGCAUUUUGCUUCUGCUUAUUUAAUUAUUCAUAGUAACUCUAUAAGAUAGGUACCAUGAUUGCCCCAUUUUUACAGAGGAGAAAACUGAGAAACUGAAUCUCCUUGUAGCAACACGAAUGGAUCUUAAAAACAUAAUGCUGGCUGGGCGUGGUGGCUCACGCCUGUGAUCCCAGCACUUUGGGAGUCCGAGGCGGGCAGAUCAGGACGUCAGGAGUUUGAGACCAGCCUGGCCAACAGAAUGAGAGCCCACCUCUACUAAAAAUACAAAAAAUUAGCUGGGCAUGGUGGCGGGAGCCUGUAAUCCCAGCUACUCAGGAGGCUGAGGCAGGAGAAUCGCUUGAACCUGGGAGGUGGAGGUUGCAGGGAGCCAAGAUCAUGCCAUUGCACUCCAGCCUGGGUGACAGUGUGAGACUCCAUCCCAAAAAACAAACAAAAACCCCAAAAACAUAAUGCUUAGUUUUUUAAAAAGUAAGAAGCAGAAUGAAAAAUACCACAUAGUACCAUUUAUAAAAUUAAAAGACAUGUAUAUAACACAAUACGUAUUUUAUAAGAAUACAAACAGAACAUCAAACAUGUUAGAGUGGCAAUCUAUGGGGAGGAGAACAAGAGUGGGAAAUGAGGAUAACGGGAAAUAAAUAGAUAACAAGAGAGGCUUGCACACAGCAAUGAGAACUAUAUGCCAUGAACUGAACAGCAUCAUACCUCCACCCUCUGCACAGAGGUCCAACUACAAAAACAAUGACCCCAAAUCUUAGAGCAGGGAGAUUGUAAUGGACUGCUCCAGUUACAGAGCCAGGGCCUGGACUUGAACCCAGGUGUCUUGCACCUGCCCCAGAGCAGCACGGAUGUAACUAGUCAGUGAAUUUUCAAUUCCUGAAAAGAUAUCUGCCACAUAGCUAACUCUCUUUAGGCUUCCACACUUUAAAGGCCUCCGGUAAUGACAUACUUUAUAUUUGAUCUUGAGGGACAAGUAGAUUUGCUCUAUUUAUUAUACGGCAAGCUCAAAUAUGAGCUAAACAACCGGCCACUCAUCUCUUCAUUCAGCAAGAUUUUUUUUUUUUUUUUUUUUCAGUGUUGAUUAUGUGCCAGGCAUUGGGCCAGGCAGAGGGCAAGUGGAGAUGAAUGAGCUCAAACUCUUGGCCUCCAUGAGCUCCCAGCCACUGAGCCAUUCUCUAACUACAGCUAGGCAGAUCUUUCUCCUCCUUAUGGCCACUUCGCAGCACUGCUGUAAGAGCAGAGAAGUGCAGCUCAAACCUGCCUAUGACUGUCUAAAGCACCGAUGAGCAUUUCCUAAGACAGUUUGGAUUUCCACCAGGAAAGUUUGCUGUAAUAGCAACAACACUGAUUUCCAUGAUGGGGGAUUUAAUUUUCUUGUAGCUAAUCUUUCAAAAGGAAGAAAGAACAACACAUACAGCAACAGCCCUAGUAAUUGUGGUAACAUCUGCCUCAGUGACUCAUGUGAUAAUGUCUCUUUCUGUGCAGGAGGUGAAUAUUUCAGAGACAUAUCAGGAAGGAGGCCAUUCUAGAAGCAAAGAAUGAAAGGUCAGAAUAGGGAUGUCUAGUGUGGCACUAAGGAAGUCAUAAACCCCCAGGCAUUGCAGGCUUGGUUGAGACGCUGUGGGAGUCACCUGACUCACCUCGAUAGUUUUGCAGGUGUCUUCCAGCUGGCUGAUCACUCCCUGGACUCGAUCGUUGCUGCCCACGAGGAUGGCGAUGCCAUCACUGAGCUCAGACUAAUGAAGAGAAAACAUGAACCCAAUAUCUUAGGGGUUUCCUAGCCACCCCGACUGUGAAUUGGUCAUAAUAUUGUCUUUACAGGUUCUUAAUUUAGGAUCCAUGCAACCCCUAAGGACUAACAGGGAGGCCUGUGGACCUUCUGAUAUUGCAAGCAAACCUUUGUGUAUGAAUCCAUUUGUGCAGGGAAAGGUUUCACAGUUUUCAUCAGUCUUAAUAUUAAGAUCAACAUGUUCAAGCUAAAGAAUUCUAAGUAUUGUUUAUAAAUAGCAUGGAGACCAAUAUGUGACUUCAGGGACCCAAAUGGAAUUAUUUGCCUAGUGGAACUAAGGGUCAAUUUUACUUGGGAAAUGUGUAUAGUAAAUACUCAUUUAUUCAACAAAUACUUAUUAUGGGCAUAAGAAUAUAGUGUAUACAGACACAAACACUCACACAUUAGACUAAGUCAUUACAAACUUCACACUGAAACAAAGAACUAGUUCUAGGGGAGAAAUGUCAACUUUUAAAUUCCUUUGCUCUUUUGACUUAGGAAGAGAUUCUAUUGUUCCUAUUUACCCCCUUCCCAAGACUGGCUGAUGGAGCCACCAGGAGCACUGGAGGGGCACUUGGGAGACCCAUGCGCUUGGUCCAACUCUACCCCCAACUUCUCUGUGAUGUUGGGCAAAACAUAUAUUCAAUUUUGACCCUAAUUUUCUCACAUUUAGAAGGAGAAGAUUGGACCAGAACAGUGAUUAUAAAAUAUUUUAAAGCUGCAGAACCUUCUUCAAGUGAAAGCUAAUAUGGAGGUGAAGCUGCUUUGGCCAAACAGGAGCAAGGGUGAGGGUCCCACCAGUCUGUUCUUCUGUCCAUCUCACAUGAGUCUCCAGGCUCUGAAGGAAGGAGUGUGAAACAGCUACCAUCCAGUUCUAUUAUGCUAUGCUUUGGGGGAGGUGGGCAGAAGAGAAGGGGGAAUAAAUUGUAACUGGAUUCAAAAAUAAACAAAUGUU
rnacentral:lncRNA from 10 species